rnacentral:miRNA from 1 species
AAGGACAAGAGGAAAUGGUUUCA